CCAUCCAGGUACACCGAUAACGUAAUACAGCUCUUCCUUUGUUCGAAACCGGUACUCGCAUAAACACAUCAAACACGUAAUGCAGUUUAUCCAAGACUUGAUAAGGACAUAGAUAUACAUGAGAAAGGUUCAAUUGUACACUUCAAAAGUACUUGAAUUCAUUUACAUCAAAAUUUCAAGUUUUCGAGGAGCAACUCAAAACUAGCUACAUAACUAGCUCAACUCAUUUCAAAACUUGAGUCCAACAGUGUCCCUGUAAGGAAAACAAAACAACGGGGGUGAGCUUGCGCUCGUGAGGUACCAAAUGCACAAGUACAUGAUAUGGCCAAAUAACAUAUAUGCAUAAGUGCCUUCAUUCAAACAUCCAUUUAUAAAAGGAUACAUUCGGCCCUCAAGGGCCGUUUCCGAGGUCCAUACUUGAUCGUACUCGUUGACACUCCGUCAACCAUCGAGGAUAACCAAGAACCGUAGACACCACUUCUCACCAUUUCCUUCCACCAUUCACCCCCUGAUCGGGCCCGCACACCUCAUAGUUUCAAAGGGUAAUACUCGAGUAUACCACAAGGUCGAGGAGAUAACACUCCACUCGCCUAUCAGAGACCCGAAGGCUCGUUAACGAAUCGCCCAAGCCCUUGCCGGCUCGACUCAAAUAACGGUCCAAGGGAAUGAGCUCAGUUUUCACAGAAAUAAUAGGGCAUUGCCCUAACAAAUAUCAAAUCACAUAUUCAUGAAAUUUCACAGUCCAACAGUAACAAUAGUGCAAGCAAGUGGUCAAGAGCGGUAAAGUACACCCUCGACCUAUUCAAGUCAUAUAACAAGUACAUUGAACCAUUUAAUGAUACACUCACCAAGCACGGCUCACGAAGCUUAUUCGGCAAACCUCAUUAUCUUGAUCAAGUUGAAAUCCUAAAACCAAAUAUCAAGUCAAGCAAAGGAAAAUUCUAACAUUAACAAGCUUCUAUUGCCUUUUGGCAUUUUAAUCACAAGUAAAGCUAUACCUAUCCGAUCAAAACAAAUCUUAUGGCGUUACGAAGCUAAAACAUAUGUCAACAUUUCUUAUGAAGAUUUCCAAGGCCAAAUCACACAUUUUCAGGAUCAAAUAUCGAAAUCUCGAAGAGGGCAGAAAACUGUCCGCAAAAUAGGGUCUAUGAACAGUCAAGGGUAUUUCAGUCAAUUCACAAGCUACAGUACUCCAAUCACUCUAAAAUUUUGCAGGUAACUAGCUAACUCAUAUAUCUACAAGUUUCAUGUUUUGAGCAAGAGCCGAAUCAGUCUUUAACAUGGUCAAAUGUACAGUACGAAAACAGGGCAGAAAUAAUACAACAAAAGCUGAAAUUACACUUCCAAGCCAAUCUUUGCAAAUAACCAUCACUAACCACAAUUAAGGGCUAGAAAUCCUCACUUAACAUGAGACUAGUCUAUACUAGUCAUGUACAUGCCAAAACAAGGAUGAAUGAACUUAAACAAAGCUUAGAAAUGUCACCAUUAUGGACUCUUAACAACCCAACAUCCCAUUUACAAGAAUUUCCAUAAAUUUAAUCAAGAUCACACAACUUCAAAUCAAUCAUAUACUCUCCAAAAAUGGGACAGUAUUACCCCUUAAUUUAACACAUUUCCAACCUACCAUUCAAUACCAAAUAUAUAUCAAUUCAACUCCAUUUGUACAUACAAUUUAUAGACUAGUAAAUAUACUCAAUUAGGGCCACAAUGCCCCUCAAGCAAGCCAAUUAGAAGCUUAUAAGCCAACUAUUAGAAUUUUCCCCAAAUCGAAACCCUAGAAACCGGAAAUCACACUACAAGCAUAAAUUUUCUGCAAUCGAUCACAAUUAACGCAUAAAAGCUUCAAUUAACACCAUUUCAAUCCAUCAAUCCAAUCCUAAUCAUAACUUUCAUAUAAAAUCAGAAAAAUACCCAAUAAAUCAACAAUUCACCAUCAAUUCCUUCAACCCAUGAAAUACUUCACAAUAUAACACAUUUAACCACCACAAAUCAUUAAUUAACCAAUAUUAGACCAAAAGGAAACUUGUUUAUGCCACUUACCUCAAAUUCAAGAAACCAUCAACAUAGAGCCUCCCCUCCAAAAACAAUCCAUCAAAAGCUUUACACCACCAUAGUGCACCCUUGUGUGAAAUAGUUUGCAAAAUCAUUGGUUAAAACUCAAGAUAUUUGCCAAAAUUGAACUAGGAAAAUUG
rnacentral:lncRNA from 1 species